rnacentral:rRNA from 1 species
ACGGAAGGCAGCAGUGAGGAAUAUUGGUCAAUGGGCGGAAGCCUGAACCAGCCAAGUCGCGUGAAGGAAGACGGUAUUAUGUAUUGUAAACUUCUUUAGGCGCAGAGAAAUAAGCUCCACGCGUGGAGUGAUGCUAGUAUGCGCAGAAUAAGGAUCGGCUAACUCCGUGCCAGCAGCCGCGGUAAUACGGAGGAUCCGAGCGUUAUCCGGAUUUAUUGGGUUUAAAGGGUGCGCAGGCGGUUUGUUAAGUCAGGGGUAAAAUAGUGGAGCUCAACUCCAUCCCGCCGUUGAUACUGGCAGACUUGAUUGCGGUCGAGGUUGGCGGAAUUCGCCGUGUAGCGGUGAAAUGCAUAGAUAUGGCGAAGAACUCCGAUUGCGUAGGCAGCUGACCAGGCCGUAAAUGACGCUCAUGCACGAAAGUGCGGGGAUCGAACAGGAUUAGAUACCCUGGUA